CAGCCAACUGAGUUCUUUGACACUGUGGUCAAUGGCAAGUCCUUGGGCUGCGUCUCCUUUGAGCUGUUUGCAGACAAAUUUCCAAAGACAGCAGAAACUUUUGUGCUCUGAGUACUAGAGAGAAAGGAUUUGGUUAUAAGUGUUUCUGCUUUCACGGAAUUAUUCCAGGGUUUCUGUGCCAGGGUGGUGACUUCACACGCCCUAAUGGCACUGGCAGCAAGUCCAUCUACAGGAGAAAUUUGAUGAUGAGAACUUCCUCCUGAAACAUACAGGUCCUAGCCUCUUGUCCAUGGCAACUGCUGGACCCAAUAUAAAUGGUUCCCAGUUUUUAAUCUACACUGCCAAGACUGAGUGGUUGGAUGGCAACAUGUGGUCUUGGAAAGGUAAAGGAGGGCAUAAAUUUCAUGGAAGCCAGGGAGCACUUUGGGUCCAGGAAUGGCAAGACCAGAAAGAAGAUCACCAUUACUGACUAUGGACAACU
rnacentral:lncRNA from 1 species